UUUCCGUAGGUGAACCUGCGGAAGGAUCAUUAUCGAAUUUCGAGGGGAAGGAAGAUGAGGAGCGGAGACUGUCGCUGGCUCCCCCGCCUGGGAAGCAUGUGCACGCCUUGCUUUUCGUUGACCUUUCUCUUACUCUCACACCUGUGCACCCAUUGUAGGUCCUCGAAAGAGGAUCUAUGUUUUUAUCAUCACACGCAUCGUAUGUCCAUAGAAUGUAACAUGAUCGUCGAUCGACCUCGCGGUCGGGUGGCGGUCUAAAUAAAUAAAUACAACUUUCAGCAACGGAUCUCUUGGCUCUC
rnacentral:misc_RNA from 1 species